UCGUAAAUAACAUUGCAACUGCAGCAGCUCUAGCGAAAACUAUGUGAAAAAUCAGUUGUAAUUGUUUUAAUUGUAAAAGUGCAAUGCAUUUAGUGACGUCCCAUGGGGCAAUAAAAUCGUGUUCUUGUUAUCUCUAAGCAUACAUAGCACAUAUGUAUAUAUAUAGAUGUAGGCAUGGUUGAGUCUAAAAAAUUUGGCAAUUUGGAGGCCUACACAUAUCUCCUUGUGACGCUAAAUUUAACGCUAGCACUAGUUGUAAUGUUUUUCAAUUGUCUCUGCUGCAAAAAAAGGAUACCAAAAAAUGAUAUGCUCGGCCUGGAGGGCAUGGUGAAGCUGAAGAACCCCGAUGAAAUAAUUGUGGUCAGUAGCAACAAUGCAAAUUCAAUUGCGAUUGCGGCAGCAACAAGCAACAGCCUGGUAAACAAUAGUGAGUCACAAGCAGAGCUAAAUGCCUCAACAGUCUCGAAUGCUGACUCAGAAAAGAGAUCUAGCACAGCGGCGCAUCGCAGCUUGCCCGACAUACCCGUGGCGGAGAGCAACGACAAUGGCUCGGAAUUGUAUGAAACGGUUGCCGACAAGCAGCUGGCCAAUGCGCAUAAUCAAAGUCCACAGCCCAGUUUGAAAAAGCAAACGAGCGUGUCCCAGCACAGCUCCAUUAGCCAGGCGGAUGAUGUGAGCUCGCCGUAUUCGCGUGUUAAGGGUUUGCCGCAUGAUUACGCCAAAGUGCGUGCCACCGAGCAUCCAUAUGCCCAACUCAAUGCACCGUCCACCUCCAGCUCAGCUGUAGCAUCAACAACAGCAAAAACUUCCAGCAGCAAAGCUGCCUGUUCACAGCAUGGAACCGACUCACUGCAGCGUGGCUCACAGCUCAACGGCGACUCAACACAGCACCUGAACGAUGAGUCGACGUCCCAGGUAGAAAUACCGGCAGCAUCAGCUAUUGCGGGCAUGAUUUCGGCCAGUCAGGAUCUUCCUUAUAUGACGCCGCCAAUUGCAAAUCAACAUUUUAGCGGCGAUUCACAAGACUCUUCCAAGGGCUACACGAGCAUAAGUGUGCGCGAGCCGUUGGCCAAUAUUCUGGCCCAGCAGCCGCCAACUAAGCAAACGGCUAGGAAAACAACGCUGACGCGCGACGUUAAUGACUCGCACUAUGCAACUGUCUCCGACGAUUCAGAUGAAACCUAUGCGGCUAUUGAGGAUCCCAAUAGCCGUCAUAUUCCAAACGCCACCGAUAUUUAUACAAGCGGCUCAGAGACCUAUGCACAAAUACAGCCGAUGCAGGCUAAUCCCAUCGUAGUGGCCGUUGAGAUCAACAGCAGCAGUAGCUUGGUGGCAACGAGUGCUGCGGUAUCUAACAGCGGGCCGUUGAAUCACAGUUCUGGCUCUGGGUCGGCACACCGAGUCAGCAGCAACAGCAUGGAUCAUGCAGUGCCCGUUCCUCCGCAUAUGGACAGUCUGCGCGCACAAAUGCAUUCACGGCAAGCAUCUUCCUCGUCCUCUGUGUGCAAUUUGGGCUCGCCCAAGCCAGAGAAAAGACAGGCGAAUUCACCGUUGCCACCGACGCCGAAGGCAAGUCUGAGUCAGUCGCAGGGCUUACAUCAUCUCCACUCAGCAGCUAGCAGUAGCAAUCUUACAUCCGGGCGCAGCUCUGUUAUCUCUGUAAUAGAAGCCGGAGGCGAGGGCAACAGCGAUGCGAAUGAUCUGAUCAAUACAUCUCCACAGCGCAAACACAGCAAGAGUCUAAGUCCAUCCAAAGAUGCUGAGGGCAAUAAAAACAUCGAGGGCAUGUACGCCAAGGUCAUGAAAAAGCACAAGUUCUCCUCCCAUCAGCCCGAGAUGCUUGGGGUGAGUCCCUUGGAUAGUGCGGCCGCGGCGCUUCUAAUGGACUCACAAGCUCCAGGCGCUGACAAGAGUCGCUUACGUAGCAAUAGUUAUACGGCUAAGGAUCACGGGUACGAGACGAUACCCGCGGAUGGCCAGAAGCAAGCGCAAAACCAGCUUCCACACGAGAAUCGCAAGUCGGACUGCUAUGCGGCUAGCAUGCUGCAAAAGGAGCGCCAACAGGAAGCAGUUGUUUUGCCAAAAUGAGAAAUUUGCGCGUUUCGACACUUUCGUCAGUUCUUGUUUGGAACUGGCUGUGCUGGGAGUCAGACGCAUCCCAACAAUAGCAGUAGCAUCAGCGUUCAGGUUAAACCUAGUUCGCCCAGCACCAGCACAAAGCACUACGAG
rnacentral:misc_RNA from 1 species